rnacentral:rRNA from 1 species
UGGGCGAAASCCUGAUCCAGCCAUGSCGSGUGUGUGAAGAAGGUCUUYGGAUUGUAAAGCACUUUMCCCCCCGCAGMAAGGGCAGUAAGYUAAUACCUUGCUGUUUAAAAGUUACCGMCAGAAUAAGCWCCGGCUAACUCUGUSCCAGCAGCCGCGGUAAUACAGAGGGUGCAAGCGUUAAUCGGAAUUACUGGGCGUAAAGCGCGCGUAGGUGGUUUGUUAAGUUGGAUGUGAAAGCCCCGGGCUCAACCUGGGAACUGCAUCCAAAACUGGCAAGCUAGAGUACGGUAGAGKGUGGUGGAAUUUCCUGUGUAGCGGUGAAAUGCGUAGAUAUAKKAGAAGACACCAGUGGCGAAGGCGACCACCUGGACUGAUACUGACACUGAGGUGCGAAAGCGUGGGGAGCACACUGGUUUAGAUACCCUGGUAGUCCACGCCGUAAACGAUGUCCCUCCCUUGGAAUCCUUGAGAUUUUAGUGGCGCAGCUAACGCAUUAAGUUGACCGCCUGGG